AUGGGAAUCCCUGUAAUUUCUAGAUAGGGGCGGAUGUAGCCAAGUGGAUCAAGGCA
rnacentral:tRNA from 1 species